rnacentral:tRNA from 1 species
GGAGGGGUGGCCGAGUGGCUGAAGGCGGCGGUUUGCUAAACCGUUGUAGGGCCCUAAAGCCCUACCGUGGGUUCGAAUCCCAUCCCCUCCGCCA